ACGUCCAGAUCAUAUUUAAACACAGGUUCCCGUACAAUCACUGAAGUUAAGCAACGUCUAGCCUGGUCAGUACCUAGAUGGGUUAACUCUUGGGAAUACUACGUGCCGUAA